ACGCUCGACACCUACUGGAGGCAGCAGUCGGGAAUAUUGCGCAAUGGAGGAAACUCUGACGCAGUGACGCCGCGUAUAGGAAGAAGGUUUUCGGAUUGUAAACUAUUGUCGUUAGGGAAGAAAAAGGACAGUACCUAAGGAGGGAGCUCCGGCUAACUACGUGGCAGCAGCCGCGGUAAUCUGAGCGGGCUGGCAAGGC
rnacentral:rRNA from 1 species